UACGAAGGGGGCUAGCGUUGCUCGGAAUUACUGGGCGUAAAGCGCACGUAGGCGGCUCUUUUAAGUCGGGGGUGAAAUCCUGGAGCUCAACUCCAGAACUGCCUUCGAUACUGGAGAGCUUGAGUUCGGGAGAGGUGAGUGGAACUGCGAGUGUAGAGGUGAAAUUCGUAGAUAUUCGCAAGAACACCAGUGGCGAAGGCGGCUCACUGGCCCGAUACUGACGCUGAGGCACGAAAGCGUGGGGGAGCAAACAGG
rnacentral:rRNA from 1 species